rnacentral:rRNA from 1 species
AUUGAACGCUGGCGGCAUGCUUUACACAUGCAAGUCGAACGGUAACAGGUCUUCGGAUGCUGACGAGUGGCGAACGGGUGAGUAAUGCAUCGGAACGUGCCCAGUCGUGGGGGAUAACGCAGCGAAAGCUGUGCUAAUACCGCAUACGAUCUAUGGAUGAAAGCGGGGGAUCGCAAGACCUCGCGCGAUUGGAGCGGCCGAUAUCAGAUUAGGUAGUUGGUGGGGUAAAGGCUCACCAAGCCAACGAUCUGUAGCUGGUCUGAGAGGACGACCAGCCACACUGGAACUGAGACACGGUCCAGACUCCUACGGGAGGCAGCAGUGGGGAAUUUUGGACAAUGGACGCAAGUCUGAUCCAGCCAUUCCGCGUGCAGGAUGAAGGCCCUCGGGUUGUAAACUGCUUUUGUACGGAACGAAAAGGUUUCUAUUAAUACUAGGAGCUCAUGACGGUACCGUAAGAAUAAGCACCGGCUAACUACGUG